GCACAGCUGUAAACACUGAUAAUUAAUUACAUCCAACAUCCGCCUGGGGACUAUAAGCAUAAGCUCGAAACCCAAAGGACCUGGCGGUGCUUUAAAACCCCCUAGAGGAGCCUGUUCUAGAACCGAUAAUCCACGAUUAACCUCACCCUCUCUUGCUAAUUCAGCCUAUAUACCGCCGUCGUCAGCUUACCCUAUGAGGGCUAUAAAAGUGAGCAAAAUCAGUAAUACUCUAUACGUCAGGUCGAGGUGUAGUAUAUGAGAGGGGAAGAAAUGGGCUACAUUCGUUUAUUAACGAAUUACGAAUUAUAUAUUGAAAAUGUAUAUACAUAUAUAUAUAUGAAGGAGGAUUUAGAAGUAAGAAAGAAGUAGAAUAUCAUUCUGAAAACGGCUCUAAAGCACG
rnacentral:rRNA from 1 species